rnacentral:rRNA from 1 species
AGAGUUUGAUCCUGGCUCAGGAUGAACGCUGGCGGCGUGCUUAACACAUGCAAGUCGAACGAAGCACUUUAUUUGAUUUCCUUCGGGACUGAUUAUUUUGUGACUGAGUGGCGGACGGGUGAGUAACGCGUGGGUAACCUGCCUUGUACAGGGGGAUAACAGUUGGAAACGGCUGCUAAUACCGCAUAAGCGCACGGCAUCACAUGAUGCAGUGUGAAAAACUCCGGUGGUAUAAGAUGGACCCGCGUUGGAUUAGCUAGUUGGUGAGGUAACGGCCCGCCAAGGCGACGAUCCAUAGCCGACCUGAGAGGGUGACCGGCCACAUUGGGACUGAGACACGGCCCAAACUCCUACGGGAGGCAGCAGUGGGGAAUAUUGCACAAUGGGCGAAAGCCUGAUGCAGCGACGCCGCGUGAGCGAAGAAGUAUUUCGGUAUGUAAAGCUCUAUCAGCAGGGAAGAUAAUGACGGUACCUGACUAAGAAGCACCGGCUAAAUACGUGCCAGCAGCCGCGGUAAUACGUAUGGUGCAAGCGUUAUCCGGAUUUACUGGGUGUAAAGGGAGCGCAGGCGGUGCGGCAAGUCUGAUGUGAAAGCCCGGGGCUCAACCCCGGUACUGCAUUGGAAACUGUCGUACUAGAGUGUCGGAGGGGUAAGCGGAAUUCCUAGUGUAGCGGUGAAAUGCGUAGAUAUUAGGAGGAACACCAGUGGCGAAGGCGGCUUACUGGACGGUAACUGACGUUGAGGCUCGAAAGCGUGGGGAGCAAACAGGAUUAGAUACCCUGGUAGUCCACGCGGUAAACGAUGA